rnacentral:SRP_RNA from 14 species
AGCCCCCGGCCGGCGGCCAUGGGCGGCAGGUGUUGCACUGACCGGAAGGAAGCAGCUCAGGCCAGGGAUGGGGCCAAGGUGCCUGGCCUGGCAGGUGCAAAAGAGCAGCGAAAGUCUG